rnacentral:rRNA from 1 species
GAUGAACGCUGGCGGCGUGCUUAACACAUGCAAGUCGAACGAUGAAGCCCAGCUUGCUGGGUGGAUUAGUGGCGAACGGGUGAGUAACACGUGAGUAACCUGCCCUUGACUCUGGGAUAAGCCUGGGAAACUGGGUCUAAUACUGGAUAUGACUUCUCAUCGCAUGGUGGGGGGUGGAAAGAUUUAUUGGUCUUGGAUGGACUCGCGGCCUAUCAGCUUGUUGGUGAGGUAAUGGCUCACCAAGGCGACGACGGGUAGCCGGCCUGGGAGGGUGACCGGCCACACUGGGACUGAGAGACGGCCCAGACUCCUACGGGAGGCAGCAGUGGGGAAUAUUGCACAAUGGGCGCAAGGCUGAUGCAGCGACGCCGCGUGAGGGAUGACGGCCUUCGGGUUGUAAACCUCUUUCAGUAGGGAAGAAGCGAGAGUGACGGUACCUGAAGAAGAAGCGCCGGCUAACUACGUG